rnacentral:rRNA from 1 species
CCUACGGGAGGCAGCAGUGGGGAAUAUUGGACAAUGGGCGAAAGCCUGAUCCAGCCAUGCCGCGUGUGUGAAGAAGGCCUUCGGGUUGUAAAGCACUUUCAGUGGGGAAGAAAGCCUUGGGGCUAAUACCCUCGAGGAAGGACAUCACCCACAGAAGAAGCACCGGCUAACUCCGUGCCAGCAGCCGCGGUAAUACGGAGGGUGCGAGCGUUAAUCGGAAUUACUGGGCGUAAAGCGCGCGUAGGCGGUCUGAUAAGCCGGUUGUGAAAGCCCCGGGCUCAACCUGGGAACGGCAUCCGGAACUGUCAGGCUAGAGUGCAGGAGAGGAAGGUAGAAUUCCCGGUGUAGCGGUGAAAUGCGUAGAGAUCGGGAGGAAUACCAGUGGCGAAGGCGGCCUUCUGGACUGACACUGACGCUGAGGUGCGAAAGCGUGGGUAGCAAACAGGAUUAGAUACCCUUGUAUC